AGAUAUCAGGAGGAACACCGAUGGCGAAGGCAGGUCUCUGGGCAUUAACUGACGCUGAGGAGCGAAAGCAUGGGGAGCGAACAGGAUUAGAUACCCUGGUAGUCCAUGCCGUAAACGUUGGGCACUAGGUGUGGGGGACAUUCCACGUUUUCCGCGCCGUAGCUAACGCAUUAAGUGCCCCGCCUGGGGAGUACGGCCGCAAGGCUAAAACUCAAAGGAAUUGACGGGGGCCCGCACAAGCGGCGGAGCAUGCGGAUUAAUUCGAUGCAACGCGAAGAACCUUACCAAGGCUUGACAUGGACUGGAUCGCCGCAGAAAUGUGGUUUCCCCUUUGGGGCCGGUUCACAGGUGGUGCAUGGUUGUCGUCAGCUCGUGUCGUGAGAUGUUGGGUUAAGUCCCGCAACGAGCGCAACCCUCGUUCUAUGUUGCCAGCGCGUUAUGGCGGGGACUCAUAGGAGACUGCCGGGGUCAACUCGGAGGAAGGUGGGGACGACGUCAAAUCAUCAUGCCCCUUAUGUCUUGGGCUUCACGCAUGCUACAAUGGCCGGUACAAAGGGUUGCGAUACUGUGAGGUGGAGCUAAUCCCAAAAAGCCGGUCUCAGUUCGGAUUGGGGUCUGCAACUCGACCCCAUGAAGUCGGAGUCGCUAGUAAUCGCAGAUCAGCAACGCUGCGGUGAAUACGUUCCCGGGCCUUGUACACACCGCCCGUCAAGUCACGAAAGUUGGUAACACCCGAAGCCGGUGGCCUAACCCUCUUGUGGGAGGGAGCUGUCGAAGGUGGGACUGGCGAUUGGACUAAG
rnacentral:rRNA from 1 species